rnacentral:tRNA from 1 species
CGGGGUGUAGCUCAAUAGGCAGAGCGUCCGGGCGGGGCCCGGAAGACGAUAGGUUCGAACCCUCUCACCCCGA